AUUGAACGCUGGCGGCAGGCCUAACACAUGCAAGUCGAACGAGUGGCGGACGGGUGAGUAAUGUCUGGGAAACUGCCUGAUGGAGGGGGAUAACUACUGGAAACGGUAGCUAAUACCGCAUACCAUCAGAUGUGCCCAGAUGGGAUUAGCUUGUUGGUGGGGUAACGGCUCACCAAGGCGACGAUCCCUAGCUGGUCUGAGAGGAUGACCAGCCACACUGGGACGUGGACACGGUCCAGACUCCUAGGGGAGGCAGCGGUGGGGAAUAUUGCACAAUGGUCGCAAGCCUGAUGCAGCCAUGCCCCGUGUAUGAAUACGGCCUUCGGGUUGUAAAGUACUUCCAGCGGGGAGGCGUUACCCGAAGAGGUAGCACCGGCUAACUCCGUGCACGCAGCCGCGGUAAUAC
rnacentral:rRNA from 1 species